rnacentral:misc_RNA from 1 species
UACAGAGGGUGCAAACGUUGCUCGGAAUCACUGGGCGUAAAGCGCGUGUAGUCGGAUAGGCAAGUCGGGUGUGAAAUCCCUGGGCUCAACCCAGGAACUGCAUCCGAAACUGCCUGUCUUGAGUACUGGAGAGGGAAGCGGAAUUCCUGGUGUAGAGGUGAAAUUCGUAGAUAUCAGGAGGAACACCGGUGGCGAAGGCGGCUUCCUGGACAGUAACUGACGCUGAGACGCGAAAGCGUGGGGAGCAAACAGG